GACAGAGGGGGCAAGCGUUGCUCGGAAUUACUGGGCUUAAAGAGUCCGUAGGCGGCGCGGAAAGUGGGGUGUGAAAGCCCUCGGCUCAACCGAGGAAUUGCGCUCCAAACUACCGUGCUUGAGGAACCUAGAGGUGAGCAGAACUGAUGGUGGAGCGGUGAAAUGCGUUGAUAUCAUCAGGAAUACCGGAGGCGAAGGCGGCUCACUGGGGGUUUUCUGACGCUGAGGGACGAAAGCCAGGGUAGCGAACGGG
rnacentral:rRNA from 1 species